UACGGAGGGGGCAAGCGUUGUUCGGAAUUACUGGGCGUAAAGGGUGCGCAGGCGGCGUCGCAAGUCAGGCGUGAAAUCCCCGGGCUUAACCUGGGAACUGCACUUGAAACUACGAUGCUGGAGUAUGGCAGAGGGGGGUGGAAUUCCACGUGUAGCGGUGAAAUGCGUAGAGAUGUGGAGGAACACCGAUGGCGAAGGCAGCCUCCUGGGCCAAUACUGACGCUCAUGCACGAAAGCGUGGGGAGCAAACAGG
rnacentral:rRNA from 1 species